rnacentral:rRNA from 1 species
GGGGGGGCGGGCUAUAAUGCAAGUCGAGCGGACUUGAUGGAGUGCUUGCACUCCUGAUAGUUAGCGGCGGACGGGUGAGUAACACGUAGGUAACCUGCCCAUAAGACUGGGAUAACCCACGGAAACGUGAGCUAAUACCAGAUAGGCAUUUUCCUCGCAUGAGGGAGAUGAGAAAGGCGGAGCAAUCUGCCACUUAUGGAUGGACCUGCGGCGCAUUAGCUAGUUGGUAAGGUAACGGCUUACCAAGGCGACGAUGCGUAGCCGACCUGAGAGGGUGAUCGGCCACACUGGGACUGAGACACGGCCCAGACUCCUACGGGAGGCAGCAGUAGGGAAUCUUCCGCAAUGGACGAAAGUCUGACGGAGCAACGCCGCGUGAGUGAUGAAGGUUUUCGGAUCGUAAAGCUCUGUUGCCAGGGAAGAACGCCUAGGAGAGUAACUGCUCCUAGGGUGACGGUACCUGAGAAGAAAGCCCCGGCUAACUACGUGCCAGCAGCCGCGGUAAUACGUAGGGGGCGAGCGUUGUCCGGAAUUAUUGGGCGUAAAGCGCGCGCAGGCGGCAAUGUAAGUUGGGUGUUUAAACCUAGGGCUCAACCUUGGGUCGCAUCCAAAACUGCAUAGCUUGAGUACAGAAGAGGAAAGUGGAAUUCCACGUGUAGCGGUGAAAUGCGUAGAGAUGUGGAGGAACACCAGUGGCGAAGGCGACUUUCUGGGCUGUAACUGACGCUGAGGCGCGAAAGCGUGGGAGCAAACAGGAUUAGAUACCCUGGUAGUCCACGCCGUAAACGAUGAAUGCUAGGUGUUAGGGUUUCGAUACCCUUGGUGCCGAAGUUAACACAUUAAGCAUUCCGCCUGGGGAGUACGGGUCGCAAGACUGAAACUCAAAGGAAUUGACG